rnacentral:rRNA from 1 species
UAACCUGCCCAAGAGAUCGGGAUAACACCUGGAAACAGAUGCUAAUACCGGAUAACAACAGAUGAUGCCUAUCAACUGUUUAAAAGAUGGUUCUGCUAUCACUCUUGGAUGGACCUGCGGUGCAUUAGCUAGUUGGUAGGGUAACGGCCUACCAAGGUGAUGAUGCAUAGCCGAGUUGAGAGACUGAUCGGCCACAUUGGGACUGAGACACGGCCCAAACUCCUACGGGAGGCAGCAGCU